rnacentral:rRNA from 1 species
AUUGAACGCUGGCGGCAGGCCUAACACAUGCAAGUCGAGCGGAUGAAGGGAGCUUGCUCCUGGAUUCAGCGGCGGACGGGUGAGUAAUGCCUAGGAAUCUGCCUGGUAGUGGGGGAUAACGUCCGGAAACGGGCGCUAAUACCGCAUACGUCCUGAGGGAGAAAGUGGGGGAUCUUCGGACCUCACGCUAUCGGAUGAGCCUAGGUCGGAUUAGCUAGUUGGUGGGGUAAAGGCCUACCAAGGCGACGAUCCGUAACUGGUCUGAGAGGAUGAUCAGUCACACUGGAACUGAGACACGGUCCAGACUCCUACGGGAGGCAGCAGUGGGGAAUAUUGGACAAUGGGCGAAAGCCUGAUCCGGCCAUGCCGCGUGUGUGAAGAAGGUCUUCGGAUUGUAAAGCACUUUAAGUUGGGAGGAAGGGCAGUAAGUUAAUACCUUGCUGUUUUGACGUUACCAACAGAAUAAGCACCGGCUAACUUCGUG